CUGGUCUUCGUUACAGGGACGUACAUCUAAUUCAAACUUGGGUUCGUGCACAAUCAUCAAAUGCAAGAAAGGAAUCAAUAACGGAGUUAUGUUUUCUACAGUUUAGCUACAGUACUGCAGGGAAGUUUAAGAGGGCUUCUGGUCCGAAAAUCCACUAGCUCCUGGAUCCCUUUUCACUUAUGUUGCAAGAAGACUGCUCUCUGAAAAGAACAACUUUUUUUUGUGCAGUCAAGGACUUGUAGAUGCUUUGAGCACUGCGUUUCUCAGAUCACAUGACAAGGAUGAUAUGGUGGAUAAGAGAGGCAAUGAUUCCCGUUGGUAGUGUGCAGUGGGGCUUGAAUGCCCCGUGUCCUUCGAUAGUGGAGCUUGCUUUAGGGAGUGAAUUAUUCUCUUCAAACUCCAAAUUUUGUCUACCAUUCUCUCUUCUAUAAAAGGUCUGAUUUGUUUUUCCUUUUUGCGUAAUAUAAUAUAUUGUUUCAAGGCUAACUUUUGCUAGACUAGACUAGAGGCCAUGUUCAUAUUCCUGAUCUGAAAUGAGUCCAUGUGCAUAAGAUAGAGGUGGAACACUAUAGACUAGAGGCCGAUGAUGCUGAAAUCCACUACUGAUGUUCAAUGCUUUUGCAUUUGUCGGCAUUUCUUUUUGCAUGACUUGCCCUGUAAGGACACCACAAAAACAAAGUGCAUGACAAGUCCCACAGUUUCCGCCACGCUUUGUACUGGGUCUUCAUUUUUCAGCCAUUUAAGAGCUCCUGCAACUCUGUAUUCACAAGCAUUUGCAAUACCAAUUAUCAAUUGAUAUCGUGUUUCAUGCA